rnacentral:rRNA from 1 species
AUACGGAGGGUGCAAGCGUUGUUCGGAAUCACUGGGCGUAAAGGGCGCGCAGGCGGUUUGGUAAGUCAGAUGUGAAAGCCCACGGCUUAACCGUGGAAGUGCAUUUGAAACUGUCAGACUUGAGUAUCAGAGGGGAAAGUGGAAUUCCCGGUGUAGAGGUGAAAUUCGUAGAUAUCGGGAGGAAUACCGGUGGCGAAGGCGACUUUCUGGCUGAAUACUGACGCUGAGGCGCGAAAGCGUGGGGAGCAAACAGGAUUAGAUACCCUAGUAGUCC